GGAUUGUGGCUCAGUGGUAGAGUGCUUGCUUAGCAUGUGUGAGGCACUGGGUUCCAUCCUCAGCACCA
rnacentral:tRNA from 1 species